rnacentral:rRNA from 1 species
GCUUAACACAUGCAAGUCGAGGGGCAGCAUGGUCUUAGCUUGCUAAGGCCGAUGGCGACCGGCGCACGGGUGAGUAACACGUAUCCAACCUGCCGUCUACUCUUGGACAGCCUUCUGAAAGGAAGAUUAAUACAAGAUGGCAUCAUGAGUCCGCAUGUUCACAUGAUUAAAGGUAUUCCGGUAGACGAUGGGGAUGCGUUCCAUUAGAUAGUAGGCGGGGUAACGGCCCACCUAGUCUUCGAUGGAUAGGGGUUCUGAGAGGAAGGUCCCCCACAUUGGAACUGAGACACGGUCCAAACUCCUACGGGAGGCAGCAGUGAGGAAUAUUGGUCAAUGGGCGAGAGCCUGAACCAGCCAAGUAGCGUGAAGGAUGACUGCCCUAUGGGUUGUAAACUUCUUUUAUAAAGGAAUAAAGUCGGGUAUGGAUACCCGUUUGCAUGUACUUCAUGAAUAAGGAUCGGCUAACUCCGUGCCAGCAGCCGCGGUAAUACGGAGGAUCCGAGCGUUAUCCGGAUUUAUUGGGUUUAAAGGGAGCGUAGAUGGAUGUUUAAGUCAGUUGUGAAAGUUUGCGGCUCAACCGUAAAAUUGCAGUUGAUACUGGAUAUCUUGAGUGCAGUUGAGGCAGGCGGAAUUCGUGGUGUAGCGGUGAAAUGCUUAGAUAUCACGAAGAACUCCGAUUGCGAAGGCAGCCUGCUAAGCUGCAACUGACAUUGAGGCUCGAAAGUGUGGGUAUCAAACAGGAUUAGAUACCCUGGUAGUCCACACGGUAAACGAUGAAUACUCGCUGUUUGCGAUAUACUGCAAGCGGCCAAGCAAAAGCGUUAAGUAUUCCACCUGGGGAGUACGCCGGCAACGGUGAAACUCAAAGGAAUUGACGGGGGCCCACACAAGCGGAGGAACAUGUGGUUUAAUUCGAUGAUACGCGAGGAACCUUACCCGGGCUUAAAUUGCAGAUGAAUUACGGCGAAAGCCGUAAGCCGCAAGGCAUCUGUGAAGGUGCUGCAUGGUUGUCGUCAGCUCGUGCCGUGAGGUGUCGGCUUAAGUGCCAUAACGAGCGCAACCCUUGUUGUCAGUUACUAACAGGUUCCGCUGAGGACUCUGACAAGACUGCCAUCGUAAGAUGUGAGGAAGGUGGGGAUGACGUCAAAUCAGCACGGCCCUUACGUCCGGGGCUACACACGUGUUACAAUGGGGGGUACAGAGGGCCGCUACCACGCGAGUGGAUGCCAAUCCCCAAAACCUCUCUCAGUUCGGACUGGAGUCUGCAACCCGACUCCACGAAGCUGGAUUCGCUAGUAAUCGCGCAUCAGCCACGGCGCGGUGAAUACGUUCCCGGGCCUUGUACACACCGCCCGUCAAGCCAUGGGAGCCGGGGGUACCUGAAGUGCGUAACCGCGAGGAGCGCCCUAGGGUAAAACUGGUGACUGGGGCUAAGUCGUA